rfam:Parcubacteria bacterium GW2011_GWA2_53_21 TY79_C0006, whole genome shotgun sequence.
UUUUUUGAGAGUUUGAUCCUGGCUCAGGGUGAACGCUGGCGGCGUGUCUAAGGCAUGCAAGUCGAACGAUUCAAUCGAGUUUCCGCAAGGAAAUUUUGUUGGAUAGUGGCGAACGGGUGAGUAACACCUUGGUAACCUACCUCCGAGUGGGGUAUAACUCCGCGAAAGCGGAGCUAAUCCUCCAUGCGCUCCAUUAUUACCUAUAGUGGAGCAAAGGCCCCGCCUUUGGCGGGAUCGCUCGGAGAGGGGCCUAGGUCCCAUCAGCUAGUUGGUAGGGUAAUGGCCUACCAAGGCAAUGACGGGUAGCCGGUGUGAGAGCACGGUCGGCCUCACUGGGACUGAGAUACUGCCCAGACACCUACGGGUGGCUGCAGUCGAGAAUCUUCCCCAAUGGCCGCAAGGCUGAGGGAGCGACGCCGCGUGCAGGAUGAAGCCCUUCGGGGUGUAAACUGCUUUUGGUGGGGAGCAAGNNNNNNNNNNNNNNNNNNNNNNNNNNNNNNNNNNNNNNNNNNNNNNNNNNNNNNNNNNUUGAGAGUACCCACAGAAUAAGGACCUGCUAAACUCGUGCCAGCAGCCGCGGUAAUACGAGUGGUCCAAGCGUUACCCGGAUUUAUUGGGCGUAAAGCGUCCGCAGGCGGUCUGCCGCAUCUUCGGUUAAAUCCCGAUGCUCAACAUCGGGAUCGCCGGAGCGAUGGGCGGACUCGAGGCCGGGAGAGGGGAACGGAAUUGCCGGUGUAGGAGUAAAAUCCGUUAAUAUCGGCAAGAACGCCAAAGGCGAAAGCAGUUCCCUGGAACGGCCCUGACGCUCAUGGACGAAAGCGUGGGGAGCGAAUGGGAUUAGAUAAAUCCCGGUUCCGAUAUUAUAUCGGAACGAAUGGUGUCCCCUCCGAUGGCGACAUCGGGGAGUGCAUCCAGCUGUAUCGGGGAAACUCCAAAAAGUUGGGUCUACUACUGCCCAUUUGGACAAUCCCGAGGGAAGUCCGACUCGAAAUUUCGACAUAUCGGUAUUUCGCGUUGGACCCCGUAGAGACUAUGAAGUUGAUUGUGACAGAGGGUGUAAUAUUUCAUUUAUGAAUCACUACACACCCUUGUCUGAAAAUACGCGGGUCCUACUAUUAGGCUCGCUCCUUGGCGAUGGAUCUUUGAAGAUCCAUCCCUUGUACAAAAAUGCCCGUUUUUCGUUUCGCCAUUCUCACGCACAACAGCACUAUUUCAUGUGGAAGGUUGCGCAAUUGGAAGAAAUAUCGUCUGACAAGUGUAUGUGGCAGCAAACAAAAAACGGCUCCGACGGAUGGGGUACCGUUAAGUGGCGAUACCAAAGCAUGGCAUUGCCGGCUUUGACUGAACUAUUUAACCUCACUCAUCAUCACGGUAAAUUUUUAAUAAGAAGGAAGUGGCUCAAUCUGUUGACCCCGUUGUCGCUUGCGAUAUGGUGGCAGGACGACGGAUCGAUUAUCGCCAACGGCAGGAAGGGGGUAUUGUGCACUGAAGGUUUUACUCAACCGGAGGUGCAGCUGCUUCGGCAAUACCUCAAGGCUGUGUGGCACAUCGAAACGGUUGUUGCGCCGAAAAGCGCACGCGAGCCGAGUAAAGUCAGAUUGUGGUUUCGUUCUUCAGAACAGCUGCAAUCAUUUAUGAGGAUCAUAAUGCCGCAUAUUGCGGUUGAACAAAUGAUUCCCAAAUUUAUCCUUCUGUACCAUAAUCAUCAACUUCAGCAACGCUGGAUCUCUGAGGUAGCUCGGUUGUCUCGAUUUCCUUUAUCUGCGGUAGAAAAGCAUUUUCAACAGAAAAAGGAACGAUGGAAGGAAUACCGAAAUGCAUCAGAGAAUGAUAUAGUCCAACCUCUGCGGUAACGUAGAGAAUAAAUUGACCCCAGUAGUCCACGCUGUAAACGAUGGGUACUGGACAUUGGAAGUGUCGACCCUUCCAGUGUCGUUGUUUGUAAGCUCACGCAUUAAGUACCCCGCCUGGGGAGUACGGUCGCAAGACUAAAACUCAAAGGAAUUGACGGGAACCCGCACAAGCGGUGGAGCAUGUGGUUCAAUUCGUACCGUUAAGUCGGGUAACGAGCGCAACCCCUACGAUGUGUUACUUCGUGUCACAUCGAACUGCCUCGGUUAACGGGGAGGAAGGUGGGGAUGACGUCAAGUCAGCAUGGCCCUUACGUCCUGGGCUACACACGUGCUACAAUGGGGCGCACAAUGGGGCGCCAAGGAGCAAUCCGGAGCAAAUCCCAUCAAAACGCCCCCCAGUUCAGAUUGAGGGCUGCAACCCGCCCUCAUGAAGCAGGAAUCGCUAGUAACCGCGGAUCAGCCUCGCCGCGGUGAAUACGUUCUCGGGUUUUGUACACGGACCGCUUGGUAG